AUAAAGGACUUCUGUCAUGAGUGGCACAUGUAGGGUGGCUUGCUUUCUCUUCAUGUGUAAUCAACAUAAAGAGAUCUUGGAAGCAUAAUUUUUGGUACUUGGGCAGCUGCUGAUUGUUGGUCCUCAUGUCCCC